AGUGAACGCUGGCGGUAGGCCUAACACAUGCAAGUCGAACGGCAGCACAGUAAUAGCUUGCUCUUACGGGUGGCGAGUGGCGGACGGGUGAGGAAUACAUCGGAAUCUACUUUUUCGUGGGGGAUAACGUAGGGAAACUUACGCUAAUACCGCAUACGACCUACGGGGGAAAGCAUGGGAUCUUCGGACCUUACGCGAUUGAAUGAGCCGAUGUCGGAUUAGCUAGUUGGCGGGGUAAAGGCCCACCAAGGCGACGAUCCGUAGCUGGUCUGAGAGGAUGAUCAGCCACACUGGAACUGAGACACGGCCCAGACUCCUACGGGAGGCAGCAGUGGGGAAUAUUGGACAAUGGGCGAAAGCCUGAUCCAGCCAUGCCGCGUGGGUGAAGAAGGCCUUCGGGUUGUAAAGCCCUUUUGUUGGGAAAGAAAAGCAGCAGGUUAAUACCCCGCUGUUCUGACGGUACCCAAAGAAUAAGCACCGGCUAACUUCGUG
rnacentral:rRNA from 1 species